UCUAAUUUCACGUAAUCAGAUUACAUCAAAUUUAUCAUUCAUAACCAUCACUCGCACAUUACAAAAUUUCAAUUCACCUCGUUCUUUUCAUAUUUUCUCCGUUCAAUUUCGCUAAACAAAGUAAUAAUCGGUGCAGAAACUUCGAUCCAAACGCGAUUCAACUUGUUUCAUUCUCUUGUGCCGUUAGAUCUGCCCCAAUUUUACUUCACAGGUAUGAAACGAUUGCGAGAGGAUCCUUACGGUAGCUCUCAAUUUAAGCGGUCAUUUGGUGCUUCGCGUGGAGAAUCAUAUGGCCAACCGCAAGCUCCGGGAGGAGGUGGUGAAGGAACAGGAGGGGCAGGUGGCGGAGGCGGUGCUGCCGGUGGUGAUGGUGGCAGCAGUGCACAGAAAGUCCCCGUCACCACCAAUGACGCGUUGACGUAUUUGAAGCAGGUAAAAGAUAUGUUCCAAGACCAACGGGAGAAAUAUGACAUGUUUCUUGAUGUGAUGAAAGAUUUUAAAGCUCAAAGAAUUGAUACAGCAGGUGUCAUAGCAAGGGUGAAAGAGUUGUUUAAAGGUCACAAUAAUCUAAUUUUUGGGUUCAACGCUUUCUUGCCGAAGGACUUUGAAAUAACUGUCAUCGAGGAUGAAGAGGCCCCACCAAAGAGAUCCGUGGAGUUUGAAGAGGCGAUAAAUUUCGUAAACAAAAUAAAGAAACGCUUUCAAAAUGAUGAUCAUGUUUACAAAUCGUUUUUGGACAUCUUGAACAUGUACAGAAAGGAUCUCAAGGGUAUUAAUGAAGUAUACAGCGAGGUUGCCUCACUUUUCGAUGAUCAUCAAGAUCUUCUUGAGGAUUUCACAAGGUUUUUGCCAGCUGCUUCAGCCGCCGCUUCUGCACACCAUGCUUCCUUACGAAAUUCUUAUCAACGUUAUGAUGAACGGAGCUCAGCCGUGGUCCCGCUUCGACCGGGACAACAUGAUAAGCAACAAGGCCGGAGAGACAGGAUCAAUGCUGAACGGGACCCAAGUGCUGAUUGUGCUGAUAUGGAUGAUAAAACAAUGACGAAACUUCAUAAGGAGCAGAGGAAGCGCGGUGAAAAAGAGAACAGGGAUAGGAGAAAUAGUGAUCAGGAUUACAAGGUUCCUGAUCUUGAUGGCAACAGGGAUCGUCUUGAAAAACGAAAAUCCGCACGGAAAUCCGAGGAUUUUGGAGUACAUUCAGGUUCAGCCCCGUAUGAUGAUAAAGAUGCCCUCAAAAGUGAGCAGAUGCUUAAUUUAUCAGCAGUUGAACUCAUAAAUAUACCUUUCAUUUGUUUGGAUGAGAAGUCAUCAUUGUGGUAUCUGUUCAUUAUAGGUCUGUACAGCCAAGAAUUUACUUUCUGUGAGAAUGUGAAGAACAGAUUACGGAAUGCAGAAGAUUAUCAAGCUUUUUUGAAAUGCCUUCAUAUUUAUAGCACAGAAAUAAUCACAAGGAAGGAAUUACAGAGCUUGGUUGCUGAUUUACUUGGGAAGCACACAGAUCUUAUGGAAGGAUUCGGUGCAUUUCUGGAACGUUGCGAGAACAUAGAUGGGUUCUUAGCCGGAGUUAUGGACAAAAGAGCUUUAUGGAAUGUUUCUAAGUCAACAAGAACAGAGGAGAAAGAAAGGGAGAAUAGGCGUGAAAAUGAUGCUAACAAAGAGAAAGACAGAUUCAAAGAGAAGUAUUGGGGGAAAUCCAUACAAGAGCUUGACCUCUCUAACUGUCAGAGAUGCACUCCCAGUUAUAGACUUCUUCCUGAUGAUUACCCGAUUCCGUCAGUAAGUCAAAGGUCAGAGCUUGGCACUCAAGUGCUGAAUGAUCUUUGGGUAUCUGUGACUUCUGGUAGUGAGGAUUACUCGUUCAAACAUAUGCGGAAAAACCAAUAUGAAGAGAGCCUGUUUAGAUGCGAAGACGACAGGUUUGAGCUAGACAUGUUGUUGGAGUCUGUUAGUUCAGCGAUCAAACGUGUUGAGGAACUAUUGAACGGCAUUAGUGACUGUUUGAUUGGUUCUGAGGGUCCCAUCCGUAUCGAAGACCACUUAACUGUUUUAAAUAUACGGUGCAUUGAACGUCUAUAUGGCGAUCAUGGCCUUGAAGUAAUCGACACACUGCGUAAAAAUCCAUCUGCGACAUUGCCUGUUACAUUGAUUCGCCUGAAGCAGAAACAAGAGGAAUGGACAAAAUGUCGAUCUGAUCUCGACAAGGUUUGGGCUGAUGUUUAUGCAAAGAAUCAUUACAAGUCGCUUGAUCACCGGAGUUUUUAUUUCAAGCAACAAGAUUCAAAGAAUUUGAGCACAAAAUGCUUGGUGUCUGAGAUCAAAGAAAUAAAGGAAAAGAGCCAGAAAGACGAUGAUGCACUCCUUAGUAUUGCUGCUGCAAACCGUCACUCUAUUAUGCCAAAUCUUGAGUUUGAGUUUACCGACAAGGAUCUUCAUGAAGACUUGUUUAAACUUAUUAAUUAUUCCUGUAAUGAGAUUUGCGCUACCGAGGAACAACUGUAUAACGUAUUAAGACUUUGGACUACCUUCUUGGAGCCAAUGCUUGGUGUUCCAUCUCGGCCCGACAAUUCUGAUAAUCUUGAAGAUGGUGAGACACCUACACCAUCCUGCAAUGGAGAUGACAAGGGCAUUUUGGUAAAUGGAGGUACUUUAUCUAAAGAAGAUGGAUCUAAAACCACAUGUGUCGGGGAUAAAGAACAGCAUGGUGUUAUGUUAAGACCGCCAACAGUGGCAAAUGGAAGUUUUGCUAAGUUUGAGAAAGAAGAGGGAGAGCUAUCACCAAAUGGUGAUUUUGAUGAGGUUGAUUUUGCUGCGUAUGGAGAUAAUAACAAUAACGGGUCACAUGCUGAUGACAGGGAUAGUGAAAAUGUUCCAGAUGGUGGUGAUGAUGCGUCAGGCAGUGAGUCUGCUGCUGCUGAUGUGUCAAGGGAAGAACUUGAAGAAGAUGGAGAGCAUGAUUAUAUUGACCGUAAAGCAGAAAGUGAAGGUCAGGCUGAGGGAAUAGAAGAUGCAAAACCACUGGCAAAACAUGUGGCUUCUCCAUUACAUGAUGCUGGGAAUAAAGAUUGUAACAUCUUUUAUGGAAACGAAAGCUUUUAUGUUCUUUUCAGGCUUCACCAAGUAUUAUAUGAUAGACUAUUGUCGGCUAAACUUAGUUCGGUUUCUGCUGAAACAAAGUGGAGAGCUGCUAAGGACACUUCCCCACCUGAUUUGUAUUCUAAAUUUAUGAGUGCUUUAUAUAAUCUGCUUGAUGGCUCUACUGAUAAUGCAAAAUUUGAAGAUGAUUGCCGUGACAUUCUUGGAAAUCAAUCUUACGUGUUAUUUACUUUGGACAAACUGAUUUAUAAACUUGUGAAGCAGCUUCAAAUUGUUGCAGAAGACGAGGUGGACAACAAAUUACUUCAGCUAUACGAAUAUGAAAGCUUGCGAAUGCCUGAUAAGUUUGUUGAUGCUGUAUACUACGAGAAUGCACAUCAUCUUCUUCAUGAGGAAAACAUAUUCAGAUUUCAGUGUUCUUCUGGACCGAGUUGUUUAACUAUCCAGCUGAUGGAUGAUUUGAAUGAAAAGGCUGAAGCAGUUGCGGUUUCUGUGGACCCCAAAUUUGCUGCUUAUCUUCAUAAUGAUUUUCUUUCUGUUGUGUCUGGAAAAAAGGAAUCUGGCAUUAUGUUGCGGAGAAGUAAACGCCAAUUCUCAGACAUGGAUGAAUCUUCUGCGAUGUCUGUUGCGAUGGAAGGUGUUAAUGUGGUCAAUGGUUUGGAGUAUAAGAUGUCUUGCCGCUCGUCAAAGUUGAGUGCUGGCAGAUCUCCUAUGUACUCGAUACAGUAGAUUUCUUUAUUCGUGGGAAAAGAAAAAGACGAAAAAUCACCGGAUGCAAAUCAUCAUCAUCGUAUAGCAAUGCCCAGAGAAAAAUACAGCGGUUUCACAAAUUCCUAGAAGUCUCUACACAGUAGCCUCAAUGCCAUUUAAGUGGGAUCUUUUGAACCAAAAAAGAAAUUAUAUCUUUUUUGUUAUGUCGUAAGAUCUUGCCGGCAUAUAUUAGCUCAGAAAAAAGUGCUACUUUAGGAACAAUUGCCAUUUGAAGUUCAUACAAACAAUGAGAUACAAGCCAUCAAUUGUGUAAAUAUGCGUUUGGAGAAUUCAUGUUACAAUUGAGGUUUCGCUCGUCUAAUUGCUUCUGUUGAUGACAUACCCCAACACAAAGUACUCGUUUGUCUGUAUUUGUUUUUUUUUCCCCUUUUCUGUAACGUUCAUGUCCCCAAUAGAGUUGUAGCUUUUUUGCGGUCAGCCGAUAAAGUUGUAAUGCCCGAUAAAGGUGGGAAGAAGGGUUUUUUUUUUUUUUUUUUUCUUAAAAAAUAGGAAAGCUCUUGCUCCAUGAAAGGGGUAUGAUGCUGGGGGGUGUUGUACAGAGCUUACUUACUACCAGCUGUUGAUGUUGAAUACAAUUAUGUAAUCUGACAUUUUAUUUGGCCACAGAAUGAGUUUAUUUAUCAUCUCUCA